GCUGGCGGCGUGCUUAACACAUGCAAGUCGAACGGUAAGGCCCUUCGGGGUACACGAGUGGCGAACGGGUGAGUAACACGUGGGUGAUCUGCCCUGCACUUCGGGAUAAGCCCGGGAAACUGGGUCUAAUACCGRAUAGGAYUGCGCGGUGCAUGCCGUGUGGUGGAAAGAUUUAUCGGUGCAGGAUGGGCCCGCGGCCUAUCAGCUUGUUGGUGGGGUAAUGGCCUACCAAGGCGACGACGGGUAGCCGGCCUGAGAGGGCGACCGGCC
rnacentral:rRNA from 1 species